rnacentral:tRNA from 1 species
UUUGAGAUGGCAGAAAAGUGCAAUGGAUUUAAGAUCCAUAAAUGAAGGUUUAAGUCCUUUUCUUAAAA